rnacentral:lncRNA from 1 species
CUUCCACUUUCUUCUCCUCAGCUGGACCCCUACAUUGCAGAUGAGGCUCCCAAUGUUGACGUUGGCCAGGGCCUUUGCAAACAAGCCAGGCCAAAAAGGUUCAACAUUUACACCGGCUGCUUUAAUGAGGGCAUUGAUCUUAUCCUCCGUGACUGUCACCUCAUCGUCGUGCAGAAUGAGGGCCGAGUAGAUGCAGUCGCAGGAUGAAGUGAGGGCCUUACCCCAACGCGGCCUUAGCUUCCUCGGAAGGACCGAGCAGCUUGGCGGCAGCUGAGGGAAGGGGUCGG